rnacentral:lncRNA from 1 species
ACUCCGGAUCCUAACUAGCCCUUUGACGUCCUUCAAUGGCUGCACCCCCAAGAACCUGCUAGGCUCCCUCGGCGUGGAGGUGGCAGGUGAGCCUCCGGACUAGACUCACCUGCCGCAAGUCACUGCGGCUCGUCGGCCCCUCCCCCGCGCGCCUGCCCUGGGGUUCAGAUUACCUGCGCGGACUCUCUCCCCGAGAGGUAGAAGCCCUAGGGGACCGGGAGGGGCACCCUGCCGCACCCGAGACUUCUAGGGCGAGUUCGCAGGUGUGGGCUCCGCAGUGCCUCCUCUCCCAGCGCAGACCAAGGCGAAGCUGGGCUUCGGGGAAGGACGCAUUUCUCCCUCGCCGCCCCCCGCGGUUGUGUAGAGCCCCAAGACUUGAAGAUGGGGGGCAAUGCCUGUUCACGCUCGUUGCUGCACGACCCCUCACGCAGAUUUCCAGGAAGUUACUGUGGCCUUCACGACUUGACUGGAGGAGACAUGAGAUAAAUAAGCAGAAGAACAAAUAAAAGUGCCUGAGAUCAGGACUGUGAGGAACGUAAGACAGCACCCUGAGAUUGAGUAACUGUCCUGAAGGAGAGAGUGGCAGGGACGUCACUGGCCUACUUUACAUGAGAUGGCCAAGGAAGACCCCUCAAGAACUGGAAUUUGGGCUGAGACAUAAAGAAAAGAAGGGCUGGCAUUGCUAUCCACUCCAGAAAAAAGAUGGGAACAGAAGGAUGGAGCUGAGAGCGUUUAGAGAGUAGGAGAAAAGGAGAUUGAGAUGAGAGUACAGAAUGGGCAGGGCCGGGAGACAAGAAACAUCCUGAGCCAAAAAUAGAGUCAGUGAAGACACUGUACCAGUGGUGGCUAUUGUACUUGCAUUUUAUUUUAUUUUUUUUUAGAUAAUUUUGUUAAUUAAUCAUUCAACCACAGUAACCCAAAUUUCAUAUUCUCUGCACCUGCUCUAAGAAGAAAGAAAAUAAAAACAAGUUGUGUUCAAUGUUGGUGAGUUCCUGUCUAAGACCCUGAGGCUGAACUGAGAGUUGACCUUUCUACCCCACGAGACCUGAACUCUGACGUUGCAAGUGGGGUGAGAUAUUAGGUUGAAAAUUGUCUCUCCUGGAAAGUAUACAACAGGGGAUCAAAGAACUCUGUGGUUAAGCAAUCUAGACUUCUGUCUAUCCCCAGGCUGGGCCUCAUGCUCACCAACAUAAUAGCAUUUUCUCAAACGCAGCUACCUCCAUAGCACCCUACAUCCCCAAACCCCUAGGCUGAUCGGUACUCAUUCUCCCUGAGGGUUUCUGGCCAUCUUAUAAAGUGAACAGUGGUAGAGUGGAGUGAUAACUUGAUGUUCCUUGUGUUUGCCAAUCAUGUGAUGCUAGAGUUGUCUCUUCUCCAUGCUGGGCCUGGUGUCUCAGCCUUUCAGGUAAUGCUGAUGCUCUCUGUCAUGACAGAGAUGUUCAAGGAAAAUCUAUGUGCAGGAGCAUCCUGUAAAUCCUAAAGGCCAUGUGCACGCUGGGCAUGAUUCACAGCCCAUGAUGACUUUGUGUAAGGAGUAGGAGAGCCUCCUGCUGUGGGCCUCUUUGUAACAAAUCUCCACACACUCCUGAUGUUUGUGUGUCCCCAGCCAGCGUGUUAAGUCCAAAGAACGUAUGAGUCCUACUCAUUAUCAAGGAAGAGGCUAGGCCCUGCUGCCUCCAAGUCUGGUUUUCACAAUGAAUCAAACAGAGUCGAAGGAGGGGUAGAGUACUCCCAUCCUGUGUGUGUUUGCUUGGCCUGUAACCAGCAAAUCUCAGUGACCAGCUUAUUUUGCUUUGCUAGGAACUUGAAUGGUUUUAGUCCUGAACACUUCUGGCCAAAGCUAAUGGCAAUAGUGGUCAUCCGACCUGGGUGCCUCCCUGUCUUGCUCAUUGCCCUCCACCCUGAACAAAGAGCUGUCAUGAGAACUGGGUUAAGUAUGUUACAGGGAUGGAAAAGAGUGCAUACAGAAAGCAGGGAAAAUUGAGUUUUCAGAGAUGCCGCUUUUAACAGACUAGGGCAGACGGUCAUCCAAUCAAAGAGACUAUUAGAUGAACACUUAUUCUGUUUUUUGUUCAUUUGUUUUAAGUUUCAUUCCCUGGGAUAGGUGAUACCCACUGUGCCCACCUCACCUUUGAGAGCUAUUCACCUGUAGCUCUGUUCCCAGCCUGUCAGACUUUGGCUACUAAAUCAAUGUAGGAGUGUUAUACACUGACACAGUUCCAGAUUAAGGAGAGAGGUACCAGAGGCUUCCUAAUCAUGAGAUUUUUUUUCUUUCUUUCUGUUUCAUUUUUUCUUAGAUAACUAGGCCAGACUCUUUCCAACAGGAAGGGCAUGAGUUACUCUGCAGAUGGACAGAGACAAGACGGGGUGGGGUGGGGGGGCUUAGCAGAAGCUAGAGCUGCACCUGCAGCCUGGGACCUCAAGCCAUCCCACCUACUGCUCACACAUUUCUCUUGCUAUCAGGCUGUCUCGGAGAGAGAAGAGAUGGAGCUGGUCCUCCAUCAGGCCCACUGCUUCAGGGGGCCCUGUGAUCAUAUUGUUGAUGUUGCCGGAAAUGUGAUUUGUGCUCAGGAGUCUGAGAUUGUAGCUGGGCUCCCUCAGGAGCCUCAUGAAAAAUGCAUUUCACCAGGCGGUUCCAGGGGAGAGACUGGCUUAAAUUACAGCUCUAGGAAUCCAAAUAUUGGCAUAUCUGCAAAUCCAAAUGUGAGGGGGGGGGGACCUAAAUUCCAAGAAUCUUAUUCUGCACUUCUUAUGUGCAAAAGGGAUGAUGGGAUUCAGAAAGGGGAGAUUCAGACACCCCAACUCUUCCACCCUUUUCUCUCCCCAUGCAUUCUGCCUGCCUUCAAAGAAACAGCCUGUGACACAGAGGAGAAGGUAGCAUUUGUUCGGUGUGACAGUUUUUAGUACAGGUGGGGCAGGGUAUACAGCAUGUGGGACACAGGAGGGCUCAGCCAUCUUUGUCUGCCCCUCCCUGUACAGUUUUCUGGAUCUAGGAUGAAGGUUUCUUAUGGAUCAGUAACGGCACUACAGUCAUUCACGACCCAGCAGGGUGAGGGAUCCUGCACCGCUGUGAGAGAAGCCAAGUUAUUUCUCUGCUCAAAAUCCUCAUCUGCCUUAGAGAGGGGUGGGGUGUUCCUACUGUAGGCUCCAAGGUCAUUUCACUAGUUUGCUCCUCAUCACAAGACAAGAUGGCCCUUCAUUAUUCCCUUCCCCCAUGGCAAGUGCACAUCUCCCUUAGAAUCUAAACUUUUCUCAUUCCUUCUGCAUGGAGUACUUACUUGUCCCUGCAAAGCUUAUCAGACUCUGUUCAGUCUUCACUAAGAUACCAGCUUCCAGAUACAUAUUCCCUGACAAUAUUAUUUUAAAAUCCCUAGACUUCCCAUAUGUAUGGGAAUGUUCUUGCGUACAGCAGUGACUUAGAUGUGGACCCAAGGGGUCUGUGGCUUGGUAUUGAAGAGAUGGUAUCUUUAAAUAGUGAAACUUCCUGGAAGAUGGUUAGAUCAUUGGUGACACUUCCAGUGGAAGGAAUUGUGAUAAUUCUAGAUUCCUGAUUUGUUCCCAAGAGAGUGAGUUGUUAUAAGAGCAAGCCUGAUUGGCUUCCUGUCUGAUCAUGUGACCUCUCCCCUGCACGUGCUACAGCUAUAGUGGUGGCAUCCAUCACAAGGCAUGAGUCAAGCAGAAGCUGGGACCAUGGUCUUUAUCCUGUAAAAUGGAGUAAAUAAACCUUUUUCUUUGGAAGUACCCAGCCUUAGAUGUUUUGUUACAGCCAUGGAAAUAGAUGAUCAUAACCCAUUUCUGUUCUGUUAUAUAUUAUUUAAACUAUGUAUUUAUUCCCUUUUCUUAUUUUGUAUAAGUUAGUAACUUGAUUUGGUUGUCAUAGCUCAUAUAUUAUAAGCUCUGAAUUAUAGUUGAUUGAAUAAUUGACAGUAUCUUUAUGGGGCAUCUCUAUCCCUCUUCACAGUAUAAUUUCUCUUUAAUUUACAGGGGGACUAUCAAGCUCUAAAAUUUAAGUAACUGCCUAUAUUGUAACCAGCACAAUAGUCCAGAAAUCUGGGCUUCAGACAGGUCUUUGAACUGGACUUGGGUGCAUCAAGAAAUAUAACCUUGUGCUACCUUGCAUGGUAUCUACCAAUC